CCCCUGUAGAAGCCAUGCAAAAUGAACGGUGAACUAUAAUUAUUAUUAUUUUUUUGAAGAUAUCAUUAUAUAUAACGGAUAACAAAUGUGUCGGGUUUUGUGAUUGGAUAACAACACAAAGAUGUCAAUAUAUAAUCAGGAAAUUGCCGGGGUGUAUACGACAUUUUAAUUCCCAAUUAGAACCUUAAAAACUUCCUUAUAACAUAUGUUAUUAUGUGACAAAGUCAAAAGCUAUAAAGAACACAAGAAAUGUGAGAGGCUCACAGUGAACAAAAAAGACGC
rnacentral:lncRNA from 1 species